rnacentral:rRNA from 1 species
UACGUAGGGUGCAAGCGUUGUCCGGAAUUAUUGGGCGUAAAGAGCUCGUAGGCGGUCUGUCGCGUCUGCUGUGAAAACUCAGGGCUUAACCCUGAGCUUGCAGUGGGUACGGGCAGACUAGAGUGCGGUAGGGGAGACUGGAAUUCCUGGUGUAGCGGUGAAAUGCGCAGAUAUCAGGAGGAACACCGAUGGCGAAGGCAGGUCUCUGGGCAUUAACUGACGCUGAGACGCGAAAGCGUGGGGAGCGAACAGG